AGGAACAACCCCAGUGGCUGGGGCAGCUCUGGAAACCUGGAUUCAGGCAGGAACUCCGUCUGCAGGGCCUGGAGGCUCCGGGGCGGG
rnacentral:pre_miRNA from 1 species